GUGGGCGGGGCCUAAACAUACCUGAGCUAAGACGUACGUCCUUGAGAUACGCAGGUCCAGACAGGAGAUUCAGUGUCAACAAUGAACAUACUGGACUGAAGGGUGUUACUGAGGUAGCUCAGGCAAAAUGAGCCAAUCACAGCAAGUAUCCUCCUGGUCUGUGGAGGAGGUGUUGGAAUGGAUUCAGGCACAGCUCCCACAACACAUCAAAACACUCUAUAAAGGGAUCAUCAAACAUGACAUAUCAGGCCGAGCUUUGCUGAGACUGAAGGAGCGUCACCUGGGGCUUCUAGGGAUGGAGGAUGACGACCAGCAGCAGGAAAUAUUGCAGGACCUUCUGCUUCUCAGAGUUCAGGAAGAAAUCAAUGAACUCAAUGACAUCUGCUUUGACUGUUUUUCUUCAUAAUGGACGACUAAAAGAUACCCAGCUGUUUUUUUUUUUUUAUUUCCCGUCUAUCCAUUCAUCUGUGUGUCUGAGAUUGAAAGGAGUGAUGGAAAUAACAGGAGAAGGUGAAUAGAAAGGGGGAUCGAUGGGGAAGAGAAGAGAAAAAGAAACCCAUUUCCUGUGUGAAAUUUGACCAGCGCAGAUGGAUGAGAUUAGUUUUUGUCUGGUUGUCUCUUUUUGAUCCUUAUUGUUCAUUUGUCUCUGUCUUUGUCCUCUUUCUGUAUUCCGUUUAGCCAUACCAAUAUCAAAUAUACUGCAACAGAAUUUAAAUUAAAGAAGUGAUUUUUUUUUUUACCAGAAUGCCCCUGUGAUCUUUAUUUAGAACUAAUCACAGGGAUCUCUGAAAAGGUUUGGGAUUUGAUGCAGUUAUUUUAUUAUUAUUAUUUUUUAUUCUCCAGGUCUAGAAAAGGACAGACAAAAAAAUAAAAUAAUUUUUUCUUGAAGCUUUUCUUCUUUUCUUGUUAAUCUGUUUGCUUCGUAAAGUUCCAUCCAUCCAUCCAUCCAUCCAUCCAUCCAUCCAUCCAUCCAUCCAUCCAUCCAUCCAUCCAUCCAUCCAUCCAUCCAUCCAUCCAUCCAUCCAUCCAUCCAUCCAUCCAUCCAUCCAUCCAUCCAUCCAUACAACGAAAAUAAAAUGUUAUUUAUUUUUCUGAAGACAAAUAUAAUUACUGUAUCUCUCUUUAAUUUAAUGGUGGGUGCAGAAAAAAGAUAACAGCCUUUUUAUUAUUAAAGGUUUUAAUUCAAUCAAAUUUUAAGACUCUCUCUUUAAAAAAAAGAAAAAAUCAGAAAAUGCAAAUGGUAGAAACUAUUCUUUAUAAACUAUUCUUUAGGAGACCCAUAUGCUUGAUUGAGGAAAACGAGCCAAAUGCAUGCUGUGACAGCAUCACCUCUGAGAACUAUUUUAAAGUCAGAAGAUUUUCCUUCAAAGUAGACUUUGAUACUCAUCAUUGAAUCAGCAGGACUGCUGAGAAACAGGGCUAUAUAUUUUUAUUCUGCCAUAAAGCCUGAGCGCACAAGCUUAUCUCCUUUCUGUCUGGGAUGGUGUUGGUUUGUGAUAAUGUGUUUUUAAUAAAAUCAAAGCAAAGCCUGAAAA